rnacentral:rRNA from 1 species
UUCCCAGACUCCUACGGGAGGCAGCAGUGGGGGAUAUUGCACAAUGGGGGGAACCCUGAUGCAGCGACGCCGCGUGGGUGAAGGAGUGCUUCGGCAUGUAAAGCCCUAUCGGCAGGGAAGGAGCAAGACGGUACCUGACUAAGAAGCCCCGGCUAACUACGUGCCAGCAGCCGCGGUAAUACGUAGGGGGCGAGCGUUAUCCGGAUUCACUGGGUGUAAAGGGAGCGUAGACGGCCAUGCAAGCCAGGGGUGAAAGCCCGGGGCCCAACCCCGGGACUGCCCUUGGAACUGCAUGGCUGGAGUGCGGGAGGGGCAGGCGGAAUUCCUGGUGUAGCGGUGAAAUGCGUAGAUAUCAGGAGGAACACCGGCGGCGAAGGCGACUUUCUGGACUGUACCUGACGCUGAGGCGCGAAAGCGUGGGUAGCGAACGGGAUUAGAUACCCGGGUA